rnacentral:rRNA from 1 species
AACACGUGCGCGAGUCUAAGGGUCGUACGAAACCCGUUUGACGUAAUGAAAGUAAAGUCGGCCCUUAGGGGUUCGAUUAGGUGGGAUCCCGGAGUCGGAAACGGCGACGGGCGCACCACCGGCCCGUUUCGGCCGCCGCGUCGGCGAGGCGGAGCAAGAGUGUACGCGUUGGGACCCGAAAGAUGGUGAACUAUGCCUGAGCAGGGUGAAGCCAGAGGAAACUCUGGUGGAGGCCCGAAGCGGUUCUGACGUGCAAAUCGAUCG